AGAGAUGACGAGUCCCAAAUAGGACGAAACGCGCGUCCUGGAU
rnacentral:hammerhead_ribozyme from 1 species